AUAAUACUCCCUCCGUCCGGAAUUACUUGUCAUCAAAAUGGAUGUGUCUACAACUAAAAUACAUCUAGAUACAUCCAUUUCAAUGACAAGUAUUUUCGGACGGAGGGAGUAGUAG
rnacentral:pre_miRNA from 1 species